rnacentral:lncRNA from 12 species
GUUACAGCCCUAGCAGACUGGAGAUACGGGAAAGACAAACCUGUUGGUAAAGAUGUUGUAUUUGAUGACGCAAAAUGAUGCCUGUUAAGUGCUGAAAAAUCAGUCAACACCACUCUGCAGCCAUCACACCCAGCUGGCUUCUUAACAAAGCAAUCCUGAGUUUGAAA